rnacentral:rRNA from 1 species
CAAUAGCGUAUAUUAACGUUGUUGCAGUUAAAAAGCUCGUAGUUGGAUUUCUGGAGGGAGCGUCGACCCGUAUUUACGAGUGCGUGACGUCUCUGUCCAUCCUUGCGGGAAGGCACGGCAUUGAUUUGUUGUGUCGGAUCGCAUCAUUUACUGUGAAAAAAUUAGAGUGUUCAAAGCAGGCUUUCGCUUGAAUACAUUAGCAUGGAAUAAUAAGAUAGGACUUUGGUGCUAUUUUGUUGGUUGAGCCUAAAGUAAUGAUUAAUAGGGAUAGUUGGGGGCACCUGUAUUGCGUUGUCAGAGGUGAAAUUCUUGGAUUUACGCAAGACAAACAGCUGCGAAAGCGUCUGCCAAGGAUGUUUUCAUUA